GCUACAGGCUUAACACAUGCAAGUCGAGGGGCAGCAUGGUCUUAGCUUGCUAAGGCUGAUGGCGACCGGCGCACGGGUGAGUAACACGUAUCCAACCUGCCGUCUACUCUUGGCCAGCCUUCUGAAAGGAAGAUUAAUCCAGGAUGGCAUCAUGAGUUCACAUGUCCGCAUGAUUAAAGGUAUUUUCCGGUAGACGAUGGGGAUGCGUUCCAUUAGAUAGUAGGCGGGGUAACGGCCCACCUAGUCAACGAUGGAUAGGGGUUCUGAGAGGAAGGUCCCCCACAUUGGAACUGAGACACGGUCCAAACUCCUACGGGAGGCAGCAGUGAGGAAUAUUGGUCAAUGGGCGAUGGCCUGAACCAGCCAAGUAGCGUGAAGGAUGACUGCCCUAUGGGUUGUAAACUUCUUUUAUAAAGGAAUAAAGUCGGGUAUGCAUACCCGUUUGCAUGUACUUUAUGAAUAAGGAUCGGCUAACUCCGUGCCAGCAGCCGCGGUAAUACGGAGGAUCCGAGCGUUAUCCGGAUUUAUUGGGUUUAAAGGGAGCGUAGAUGGAUGUUUAAGUCAGUUGUGAAAGUUUGCGGCUCAACCGUAAAAUUGCAGUUGAUACUGGAUGUCUUGAGUGCAGUUGAGGCAGGCGGAAUUCGUGGUGUAGCGGUGAAAUGCUUAGAUAUCACGAAGAACUCCGAUUGCGAAGGCAGCCUGCUAAGCUGCAACUGACAUUGAGGCUCGAAAGUGUGGGUAUCAAACAGG
rnacentral:rRNA from 1 species